CACACCGAACGCGAUAGAGGCGGCCAGAGCGUCAGGUUUACAUGUAAAGUCAAUGGAAAGAGCGCGAUGACACGCGAUUGCGCGUCCGGCGAAAAUUCGGAGGCAGAUUUGCGUGGCGAAAACGCCAAAACGCGUGAAACGCGCGUCAGUGUAGCGCGUGGGGCGCGUUUGACUCGCGAAGAAAACCACGCGUGUCAGAUUGUGUGUUGCAUUUUGUGCACACACGCGUAUCGCGCCAACCGCUGGAGUUGGAAAAUCUGAACUCCGGCGUCAAAUCGCGCCGCGACAACCAAUCAGGAGCCUGGUGACGUGGCUGUAACUAGGUCAAAGGGGCAGAUCCAGCCAAAGCCCUUCAUUCGUCAUUCAGUAUGGAGGAAAAGCUCAUCAGUGCCGUGGCUAAUCAUCCAGAGCUAAAUGAUGCUGGUUGCUACUUCUACCGAGACAGGAAUAAAAAGGACCUAGCUUGGAGGCACAUUAGUGAGGAGAUUGGGCAACCUGAAAGUGGAAAGAAGGAAACAGAGGAGAAGAACGAAGAAGAGCGCAUGGAUGGGAUUUUGGUGAAAAGGAAGAGUCUGCUGUUUUCAUUUAAAACCACUAGAGGGCGCCCUCCCCCGUUCGACGCAAGUGAAAGAGAUCAUUAUAAGAGCCUGCAGGAAACAUGAACAGAAGCACAUAGGACUGACGAGGCCUUUGUGGAGUAUGUUAACUCAAGAUGGAAGGAUAAGAAAAGCAGCCUUUUCUCGAUGAAAGAGAAUAAAAUGAAGACAAAACGCAGUCAGAGGCACCCGGGACCCAGCUGGCAAGGAAAAGGUGGACAUACUAGUGACAAGGUGACGCUGAGUCAGGCGAAACGUACAUCAGUUCCCACACAAGUCAAGCCUUUUGCUGGAAAAGUGUUUUACCUGGACCUGCCAUCAAACAGAGUCGCAGAAAUGUUGGAGAGUGACAUCAAACAGCUUGGAGAGGAUGGUGUCAGGAGGAAGGCCAUGCUGCAAGCCUUCAGUAGACACAACAACCUGAUGGCUGAAGCACAGGAAGGACAAGGUUUUGACAGGCAUCUUCUGGGGCUGUAUCUUAUUGCCAAGGAGGAGGGACUUCCAACCCCAGAAUUAUUUAUGGAUCCCCUUUACGCAAAGAGUGGCGGUGGUGGUAACUUCGUGCUGUCGUCCAGUCUGGUGGGCUACACUACAGUUCUGGGGUUCUGGGGGAAUCAAUGCAAAAGGUGCAGACUCUGUACCUCGUAUUUUUUUUUUUAAUGUAAACGUAAAUUACUCAAGAUUUUAUGUAGUCAUUAACAUUGCGUAAACUGUUCUUUUGGGUGUGUACUCUUUUUUUUUUUUCCUUCCUGAUUUAACGUUCAUUUUUAUUUUGACUGUUUAGUUUGAAAUCCUGACAGUAUUAUUCCACAUUUUAAGAUAAAAUGUUAACCGCUAAGUGGCGAACGACUCCUAACUGUUUGCCUUAGUUUUCACUGUGAAAAAGCCCUUUGCCAGUAAUCGUAGGAAAGAGCUGUUAGGCUUGAACUGAAGCAGAGUAAAGUUAAACACUACUGAAUCGUAACACUGUGUAUGGAAGCUCGUUUCUGAAGCUUUUGCAGAGUUAAUUCAACAUUUCUACUUCACUCUUAAAGAACUUGAAAUUUUUACUAAUGGAUGGCAGAAACAAGCUUCUACUGACUAUUGUUUGGACAAAUAUUUGAUCGUCUUGUCAAAACAGUGCCUACAGAUAAAGGAAAUGCACUUGAAUACCACAAGAGGACGUGAAUGUACCCCAUCACAUGAAGUGCACACACUGGGCUAAUUUAAACUCAUUAAAAGAGAGAAGUAGGCAUGACUCGUGUAAGUUUGUUAAAGCCAAGGUUUGACUUCCAGUUUCUCGAGGUACCGUUUCCUUCUACACACUAUGCAACUUUGUUUUUAUUUUCAUGUCCAAAUGUUGGUGACGGUGUUUACUUUGGGUUUCAAAGAGUGGCUGACGUAAAAAUCUGUUGAAACACUUUCUACAUUUGGAGCCUCACACCAACGUGAUUAUUGCUUUGAUAAGGUGAAAUUUCACUGUGAUUGUACCACUUUGAGGGAAGCUGUAGUCAAUUUUUAGUCAAAUUUUCUGAGAAUAAAGUUCGAAGAUGUCCACACUUGCUUUAACCUUUAUUUGAAUAUAAAACAUUAACAGUUACAAAGCAGCACGUCCUCUUAAAAAAAAAAAAGAAAAGAAAGAAAAAAUAGAAACAAAAUUACAUUUUAAGUGAAUUCCACAGAAACUUUGCAAAUGAAAAUUAACAUUUGUGCAGGAUUUCCCAGGCUUUAACUGCUCAGGCACUUUGGUCCUCCAACUCAAUCCAAGACGCUGAACUGAGUCAUAACUUACAGUAUAAAUAUUAAAGAUUUUACCCAAAACUGACUCCAGACAGUGAUGAUCCCCUCAGAGGCAUAAAACCACAGUGCAUAGACCAGGGGUAGGUAA